UAAUACAUCGGAACGUGUCUUCUAGUGGGGGAUAACUAGCCGAAAGGGCGAGCAAUACCGCAUGAGACCUGAGAGUGAAAGCGGGGGAGUCGCAAGACCUCGCGCUGGAAGAGCGGCCGAUGUCCGAUUAGCUAGUUGGUGAGGUAAAGGCUCACCAAGGCGACGAUCGGUAGCUGGUCUGAGAGGACGACCAGCCACACUGGGACUGAGACACGGCCCAG
rnacentral:rRNA from 1 species